UCCAUUUGCCUAAGAAUUUCAUGAAUUCAUC
rnacentral:piRNA from 1 species